CCUACGGGUGGCAGCAGUGAGGAAUAUUGGUCAAUGGACGCAAGUCUGAACCAGCCAUGCCGCGUGCAGGAAGACGGCUCUAUGAGUUGUAAACUGCUUUUUUACGAGGGUAAACGCAGAUACGCGUAUCUGUCUGAAAGUAUCGUACGAAUAAGGAUCGGCUAACUCCGGGCCAGCAGCCGCGGUAAUACGGAGGAUGCAAGCGUUAUCCGGAUUUAUUGGGUUUAACGGGUGGGUAGGCGGUCGGAUAAGUUAGAGGUGAAAGCCCGAGGCUCAACUUCGGAAUUGCCUUUGAUACUGUUAGGCUAGAGAGUAGAUGCGGUAGGUGGAAUGUAUGGUGUAGCGGUGAAAUGCUUAGAGAUCAUACAGAACACCGAUUGCGAAGGCAGCUUACCAAGCUACUUCUGACGUUGAGGCACGAAAGCGUGGGGAGCAAACAGGAUUAGAAACCCGGGUAGUC
rnacentral:rRNA from 1 species